rnacentral:rRNA from 1 species
AGUGAGCGCUGGCGGUAGGCCUAACACAUGCAAGUCGAACGGCAGCACAGUAAGAGCUUGCUCUUACGGGUGGCGAGUGGCGGACGGGUGAGGCAUACAUCGGAAUCUACUUUUUCGUGGGGGAUAACGUAGGGAAACUUACGCUAAUACCGCAUACGACCUACGGGUGAAAGCAGGGGAUCUUCGGACCUUGCGCGACUGAAUGAGCCGAUGUCGGAUUAGCUAGUUGGCGGGGUAAGGGCCCACCAAGGCGACGAUCCGUAGCUGGUCUGAGAGGAUGAUCAGCCACACUGGAACUGAGACACGGUCCAGACUCCUACGGGAGGCAGCAGUGGGGAAUAUUGGACAAUGGGCGCAAGCCUGAUCCAGCCAUACCGCGUGGGUGAAGAAGGCCUUCGGGUUGUAAAGCCCUUUUGUUGGGAAAGAAAAGCAGCAGGUUAAUACCCCGCUGUUCUGACGGUACCCAAAGAAUAAGCACCGGCUAACUUCGUG